CCAGUACUCCAGGGAGGAACAGAGAGCAGCUCUGGGUGGAGAGGUCAUCCUUGCAGAGAUGCCUUCUGCAGGAGAGCUACUUGGAAAUGUGAGCUCCUUUACUACGUGACUACUUAGACCAAUAAAGGAGCUGUUUACUUUACACAUUAGUUUGCAGGCAGCCUCCUGCAAGGCUGCUGGUGGAGGCUGCCUUUGUCCAUGGCUGUUGCAUUGAGUGCACGAAAUUCGUUGUCUGUGUUCAAUCCUGUUUUGGAUUGUACACACUAGAGGGAGCCAUGGAAAAACCAAUCACCAGCCUGCUGCCAGGCUCCUGCCGUUCUCCCCAAAG